AAUAGGUGCAGUGCAGGUGGACUCAAGGAAACAGAAUUACCAGUAAGUCUAAUUACGGUUUUCCAUUUCUUCGACCAUGACGGCUACACAUGAGAACUAUCAGAUUACUUGGUAGGGAGGGAAACUGCUUGCAGUACCUUCUGGCCAAAGGUCAUAUCAGCAGAAGCAGAGACAUCAAUACGAUAAUGUUUUAUAAA